UCACUCCCAGCAUCCUCCGGGACGAGGAUGCCGUCUCACUGUCUGCCGCACAAAAACCAUCGCUAGCCACCAUCAGCAACUUCAGUCACUCAUGUUAAGCCAUAGGAGAUCUCAUCCAUUAAAAGCCUUUGCAAAACCAAAAGGGCCAAGGAAGCAUCAGCCAUGGCUCCCAUACCUCUCACUGUGCGACAAUGUCAUUCAGGGAAAGUGAUCUUGUGUUCCCAAUUCCGUGGCUCACAGGAUGAGAAGAUGCUUCUGGGAUCAGCCAGAGCCCUGGCCGGGGCAGUCAGCCGGACGGUGGACAGUGUGUCAUGGAUGACGCUUCAGAUUCAGAGGAGGACAAUGAAUGUUUGCUGAGUAGAUGAACGAAUGAAAAAAUGAAUGAGUGAAACCAGUGAUGGAGGGGGUGGAGAAAGCUGUGACUCCAACACCAGAGGCCUUGCAUUCAGAUCCUACCUCUUGAGACCUGCUAGCUGGGGUACGUGCUAAGAAAGCUUCUGAGGAGCAGAGAGCAAGGGCCUCAACCCUACCGAAAUGGGAUUAACCAAAGAGCUCCCAGGAGAAGGCUCCUCCUCCCAAGAGCUGCCCAGGCCCUUCUCUGCAGCUUUUAUUUCCUAUUCCUCCCACCAAAGCAUCCUCCUCCAGUCCUACACAUUAGCAUGGAUAUUAAAAGUUAAUCCAUCCUGAGGAAUUGCUAAUCCGUGCCCCUUCUACCUUUAUUGAAGUGUCAUUGAGAGUCCCAAGGGAGACGAAUAGGAUUGGUAAGACAUCCUAGCUGCGUGUGCCCUCCACCCAUCCCAUGACGGCAGCUGCCAAAGCUGACAGCCUUCAAGGAUGACAUCUGGAUAGAGCAGCGGAGCACUGCCCCACCGCCGACUGGAGGGAGAUCCAUGGAGAAGCAGGGAGAGCCAAGGAGAGGGAGCUAGCCCUUGCCCAGGCUGGAAAGCGGACCACAAAAACUCUCUGUCUUUAUAACAUGAGGUCCCUGACUGACACCCUCGGCUAUUAGGGUCUUCCCUCUUUAAAAAAAUCAAUAUCUUGCAUCUAUAUGUGUGUAUACAUACACACAAAUAAAUCAAUCAGAUAGACCUACAUGGAUCUAUCUAUGUCUAUAAUGUA